rnacentral:rRNA from 1 species
AUUGAACGCUGGCGGCAUGCCUUACACAUGCAAGUCGAACGGUAGAGUAGCAAUACUUGAGAGUGGCGAACGGGUGAGUAAUAUAUCGGAACGUGCCCAGUCGUGGGGGAUAACGUAGAGAAAUUUACGCUAAUACCGCAUACGAUCUAAGGAUGAAAGCGGGGGGAUUCGCAAGGAACCUCGCGCGAUUGGAGCGGCUGAUAUCAGAUUAGGUUGUUGGUGAGGUAAAAGGCUCACCAAGACCGACCGGAAUCUGUAGCUGGUUUGAGAGAACGACCAGCCACACUGGGACUGAGACACGGCCCAGAC